ensembl:lncRNA
GAUUUUAAUCAGAUCUUGUUUUUAUUCAACUGAAAUGAAUGAAAAAGACACUUUUUGAAACUUUUAUCUGAAUUAAAUAAUAGAUGUCAUCAUUUUUGUCAACUUUUUGGAGGACAGCAUGACUGCAAAGGUUUUUUUGUGCACUCGGGACUCUGUUAUCAUGUAAAUGUUGCUCAGAAGAAAGACUUUUCUUUCAGAGGUUGUGGAGAGUCAAGGCUGUAAAGGAGAAUAAAAGAGGAGCUUCAUCUGUUGGCAGUGAGAUUUUUUUGUGCGAUGAUGAUAGCAUACGUCACAACAUAUUGAACUGGACUUACGAG